rnacentral:rRNA from 1 species
GUGUACGUACAAGCAGUGGGAGCACCCUUUGGGGUGUGACUGCGUACCUUUUGUAUAAUGGGUCAGCGACUUAUAUUCUGUAGCAAGGUUAACCGUAUAGGGGAGCCGGAGGGAAACCGAGUCUUAACCGGGCGUUAAGUUGCAGGGUAUAGACCCGAAACCCGGUGAUCUAGCCAUGGGCAGGUUGAAGGUUGGGUAACACUAACUGGAGGACCGAACCGACUAAUGUUGAAAAAUUAGCGGAUGACCUGUGGCU